AGGCCGGUAGAAUCCCAAAACAAUCCUGUGUAAUCCCCAAUUUUUUACAACCUUGCUUCCUGUUGAUAAGGAGUUAUGGCUCAUUUUUUUCGUGGUGGAGGAAAAUCUUCUUCAGCUUCUUCUGGUUCAAACAGUUUAGUGUGAAGCAUUUUUCUCUUGCU